rnacentral:rRNA from 1 species
SGAGGGUAAUUUGAGGGAUGAGUAAAGGGAAAAUUAAAAUUUUUGGCGGUUAUAUUUAUAGUUAGAGGGACUUGUUUUGUAAUUGAUUUAGCACAGUAUAUUUAACUUUAUGGAAUUUAUUUACUUCCGUUAUUAGAAGAGAUUUGUAAUUUGUUUAUAAAGUUAAUGAAUUUCAGGUCAAGGUGUAGUUAUGUGAAGGGUAAAUUAGUUAUUUUGUGUAGUUGGGAUAUAAAAAUGAAAGGUUUUAUAGAAUUGAAUUUAGUUGUAAUUUUUUUUAAAGGAGGGAAGUGAAAUUGAGGAAAUG